UACGGAGGAUCCGAGCGUUAUCCGGAUUUAUUGGGUUUAAAGGGUGCGCAGGCGGGAGAUUAAGUCGGCGGUGAAAUUUUGCAGCUCAACUGUAAAAGUGCCUUCGAAACUGGUUUCCUUGAGUGUGGAUGAAGUAGGCGGAAUUUGUGGUGUAGCGGUGAAAUGCAUAGAUAUCACGAGGAACUCCGAUUGCGCAGGCAGCUUACUAAACCAUAACUGACGCUCAGGCACGAAGGCGUGGGGAGUCAAACAGGAUUAGAUACCCCGGUACGGU
rnacentral:rRNA from 1 species